CUACGGGUUGCAGCAGUGGGGAAUAUUGGACAAUGGGCGAAAGCCUGAUCCAGCAAUGCCGCGUGAGUGAUGAAGGCCUUAGAGUUGUAAAGCUCUUUUACCCGGGAUGAUAAUGACAGUACCGGGAGAAUAAGCUCCGGCGUAACUCCGUGCCAGCAGCCGCGGUAAUACGGAGGGAGCUAGCGUUGUUCGGAAUUACUGGGCGUAAAGCGCGCGUAGGCGGCUACUCAAGUCAGAGGUGAAAGCCCGGGGCUCAACCCCGGAACUGCCUUUGAAACUAGGUAGCUAGAAUCUUGGAGAGGUCAGUGGAAUUCCGAGUGUAGAGGUGAAAUUCGUAGAUAUUCGGAAGAACACCAGUGGCGAAGGCGACUGACUGGACAAGUAUUGACGCUGAGGUGCGAAAGCGUGGGGAGCAACAGGAUUAGAUACCCUCGUAGUC
rnacentral:rRNA from 1 species